rnacentral:rRNA from 1 species
AUAUUGGAGGGCAAGUCUGGUGCCAGCAGCCGCGGUAAUUCCAGCUCCAAUAGCGUAUAUUAAAGUUGUUGCGGUUAAAAAGCUCGUAGUUGGAUCUCAGUUCAUGUUGAGUGGUCCACCUUUCGGUGGUUACCACUUAGCUGAACAUUUUACAGACCUUGUCUCUUGAUUCUCUUAACCGAGUGUCAUGAGCGAUCUGUACGUUCACUUUGAACAAAUUAGAGUGCUCAAAGCAGGCAACUCUCGCCCGAAUAAUCAUGCAUGGAAUAAUGAAAUAGGACCUUGGUUCUAUUUUGUUGGUCUUCGGAAUCCGAGGUAAUGAUUAAGAGGGACAGACGGGGGCAUUCGUAUUGCGGCGCUAGAGGUGAAAUUCUUGGACCGUCGCAAGACGAACUACAGCGAAAGCAUUUGCCAAGAAUGUUUUCAUUAAUCAAGAACGAAAGUUAGAGGUUCGAAGGCGAUCAGAUACCGCCCUAGUUCUAACCAUAAACGAUGCCAA